rnacentral:ncRNA from 2 species
UACAAUUGCCCGGUUCCAGGUGACCUGCCGGCAUCCGCCGGCGGGUUGAAACGGGAAGCCGGUGACGCCCUUCGGGCCAUUCCGGCGCUGCCCCCGCAACGGUAAGCGAGUCAAGGCCGUCGCAUCCGCCACUGUGCCACCCUGCCGAUGUCGCAGGCGACGCAUGGGAAGGCGCGACCGCCGGGCCCGGAGGCUUCUCCCCGGCCCACCCGCAAGCCCGGAGACCGGCCUGGAGCCCGGGUCCAUG